AGCAACUGCUAACAGCGAGGAGGGGUUUUGAAAGGUAAAGGCCAUUAGCUUGGAGGCAGAAGACAGACCUCCCUGACUGCUGAAUUCCUGCCGGCCUGAAAUUGGAGCAUUCCAAGCUCCUCAGAUGAGUCAUAAGCCACCAAGAUUGUGAGCCUCUGGGCUUCUCCCAGCUUGUAGGAGAAAUGCCUUGCAGGUGAAGAUGGUGAGGAAGUUGGCCCUGAAAUAGCCCAGCCCCUCGAAGAGACAAACAGGGAGGAGCAUCAUUCAGGUGCUUCACUGGGAAAUGAACCAGGAUAAUGUUCAUCUUAAAAUAACCUACUUCAAUGAACAUUCGGCCAAAAGACAAAAGGAAGGUAUUGCUAGGUAAUGUGCAGCCACUCUGUCACAGUCUUUUUUUUUUAAAUGAACACAAAUUCCUUGACUGUCUUCUUGCUGAGAGGUGAGGUCUCUGUCCCCCUCCUCUCCCUACUUGAAUCUGGAUGAGCUUGUGACUCACUUAUAACCAAGAAUAUGGAAGAAGUGAUGCUGUGUGAUCUCCUCAUGCCUGGAGCCUGUGAGCCUCUCUCUGAGAAGUCCAGUGCCCCUGAGCCCACCAUGCUGAAGAAGCCACCUGGAGAAGCCCCUGUUGACAGAGAGCCAGCAUCACCUGCCAGUCACCAGAAGGGAGCCAUCUCAGACAUCCAGCCCAGCUGAGCCUUCAACUGACUGCUGCCCCAACCAACAUGUGAACUGCAACCGCAUGAGAGACCCUCAAGUGAGAACCGCCCAGCUGAGCCUUUCCCAAGUUCCUGGCCCACAAAACCCAGAACAAAUUAAAAUGAGUGUUUUAAGCCAUUAAGGAGCAGGGUAAUUUGUUACACAGCAACAGUAACCAGGACACAUUCCCAAACCUAACUAGGAGGAAAUUUCCUCUUGAUAAAAAUGCUGAUUUUUUUAUUCAUCCUAGACCUUCAUAAGUCAGAAUCAUCUGUGGAUAAGGUAUAAGAAUCUGCAUUUUUUUUAAGACAAGCUCUCCCACCCCAGGUGAUUCAGAUGCACAGCCAGGUUUGGAAAUUUAAGACCUUGGAAGAGAGUCACAUUGCCUCUCUCUGAGUCUCAGCUUCCUUGUCUGUGAAUUGGGGAGGAGUGAGAGUUGGUGUGAGUAUCAAAGAAGACGCUGCAGGUAAAGUCUUUAGGGCCAGCCAGGCGUAGUGGCUCAUGCCUGUAAUCCCAGCACUUUGGGAGGCCAAGGCGGGUGGAUCAUGAGGUCAGGAGUUCAGCCUGGCCAAUAUGAUGAAACACUGUCUCUAUUAAAAAUACAAAAAAAUUAGCCAGGCAUGGUGCCAGGUGCCUGUAGUCCCAGCUACUCAGGAGGCUGAGACAGGAGAAUCGCUUGAGCCCAGGAAGCGGAGGUUGCAGUGAGCCGAGAUCACACCACUGCACUCCAGCCUGGGCGACAGAGCAAGACUCUGGAUAAUGUUCAUCUUAAAAUAACCUACUUCAAUGAACAUUCGGCCAAAAGACAAAAGGAAGGUAUUGCUAGGUAAUGUGCAGCCACUCUGUCACAGUCUUUUUUUUUUAAAUGAACACAAAUUCCUUGACUGUCUUCUUGCUGAGAGGUGAGGUCUCUGUCCCCCUCCUCUCCCUACUUGAAUCUGGAUGAGCUUGUGACUCACUUAUAACCAAGAAUAUGGAAGAAGUGAUGCUGUGUGAUCUCCUCAUGCCUGGAGCCUGUGAGCCUCUCUCUGAGAAGUCCAGUGCCCCUGAGCCCACCAUGCUGAAGAAGCCACCUGGAGAAGCCCCUGUUGACAGAGAGCCAGCAUCACCUGCCAGUCACCAGAAGGGAGCCAUCUCAGACAUCCAGCCCAGCUGAGCCUUCAACUGACUGCUGCCCCAACCAACAUGUGAACUGCAACCGCAUGAGAGACCCUCAAGUGAGAACCGCCCAGCUGAGCCUUUCCCAAGUUCCUGGCCCACAAAACCCAGAACAAAUUAAAAUGAGUGUUUUAAGCCAUUAAGGAGCAGGGUAAUUUGUUACACAGCAACAGUAACCAGGACACAUUCCCAAACCUAACUAGGAGGAAAUUUCCUCUUGAUAAAAAUGCUGAUUUUUUUAUUCAUCCUAGACCUUCAUAAGUCAGAAUCAUCUGUGGAUAAGGUAUAAGAAUCUGCAUUUUUUUUAAGACAAGCUCUCCCACCCCAGGUGAUUCAGAUGCACAGCCAGGUUUGGAAAUUUAAGACCUUGGAAGAGAGUCACAUUGCCUCUCUCUGAGUCUCAGCUUCCUUGUCUGUGAAUUGGGGAGGAGUGAGAGUUGGUGUGAGUAUCAAAGAAGACGCUGCAGGUAAAGUCUUUAGGGCCAGCCAGGCGUAGUGGCUCAUGCCUGUAAUCCCAGCACUUUGGGAGGCCAAGGCGGGUGGAUCAUGAGGUCAGGAGUUCAGCCUGGCCAAUAUGAUGAAACACUGUCUCUAUUAAAAAUACAAAAAAAUUAGCCAGGCAUGGUGCCAGGUGCCUGUAGUCCCAGCUACUCAGGAGGCUGAGACAGGAGAAUCGCUUGAGCCCAGGAAGCGGAGGUUGCAGUGAGCCGAGAUCACACCACUGCACUCCAGCCUGGGCGACAGAGCAAGACUCUGAGAAAAAAAAAAAAAA
rnacentral:lncRNA from 1 species